rnacentral:rRNA from 1 species
UACAGAGGGGGGCAAGCGUUAUUCGGAAUUAUUGGGCGUAAAGGGCGCGUAGGCGGCUUGGCAAGUGGAAGGUGAAACUCCCUCGGCUCAACUGAGGAACUGCCCUCCAAACUGCUUUGCUUGAGGCCGGGAGAGGCGAGUGGAAUUCCCAGUGUAGCGGUGAAAUGCGUAGAUAUUGGGAGGAACACCAGUGGCGAAGGCGGCUCGCUGGACCGGUUCUGACGCUGAUGCGCGAAAGCGUGGGGAGCAAACGGG